rnacentral:rRNA from 1 species
UACGUAGGGGGCAAGCGUUACUCGGAAUUACUGGGCGUAAAGGGUGAUUAGGCGGCUGAGCAAGUCAAGGAUGAAAGCCCGAGGCUCAACUUCGGAAUUGUCCUUGAAACUGCUCAGCUUGAGGGUAGUUGAGGAGAGUGGAAUUCCCGGUGGAGCGGUGAAAUGCGUAGAUAUCGGGAGGAACACCUGAGGCGAAGGAGGCUCUCGAAGCUAUUCCUGACGCUGAAUCACGAAAGCUAGGGGAUCAAACGGG